rnacentral:lncRNA from 1 species
CCGGGGGAAAAGAGAGACAGGAAAUAUGUCAAACUGUGUAACUUUUCUCAAAGAAAUAGCUGGUGCUAUCAAUCUCUCCAUUUGAGAUGAACUGCCAGCGAAUACUAAUGGCUGGGAGAUCUGCAUCAUUGAUCUUCAUCAGGCGAGUGUAUUAUCCUUAGUGAAGUGCUGCUGUACCGCCCGCGCUGCCCACCUCCCAGUGCAAACCGCCGCUUCCUCUUUCUCUUGCCUGUAACUUUCAUUUUAACUUUUGAGUCAUUAAUCAAGGCAGUGACCUUGACUACGAAAGUCUAAAUUUGGUGAAUAAAUGGAAUGGAAAUCUGAAGAUGUACAGCUCCAGAAACAGGAGACCGUACACUGAUUCUUGACUGUUGUAGUAGAAACGCUGAAGGAAUGAUACCAUUUACUGCAAACUUCUGAACACCUGCUCUAGUGUCUCAGCUUCCCACUGUCCUCAAAUGAUGGAAUUUAGAAAAUUAAUGUUACCCGUCUAUGUCUGGAAUCUGAAACAUUGCACCCAAAGCGGCCCUGCAAAGUCCCUCCCCACCACUGGGCCCUCUCCCUCCCCAACGGCUACUUUCCUUUUUGUUACUAUUUCCUAAAAGGAAUGACUUUUAUAAAUUUAAAUAAACACUCAUUAUUUUGGAAAGAGAUGUGCAAAAGUAAAUCUGUAUUUAGGCAAUUAUAUUGUAGGAACAUGCAGUUGGAAGGAUUACUGUGACCCUAAGUGAGGGAUGGCUAUCCUGUGCUAACUGGCCCUUCUGAACUGUACUCCUUUAUGUUUUAGCAUUCAUGUUAAAGAUCACUCAAUGAUAUAUGUAAGCUUCUCUUUCAUAUGUCUACGUGACUGUAUGUUCCUACCAUACUACUUGAAUAUUGUAACUUUGUAAUAUGUUUUGAAAUCAGGAAGUGUGAGGCCUCCAGCUUUGUUUCUCUCUCUCAAGAUUGUUUUGGUUAUUUGGGGUUCUUUGAGGUAAAUAUAAAUUUUAGCAUUUUUUAAAUAAUUUUGAAAAAUUUUUUCCAAUUUUGAAAAAAAUGCCAUAGGGAUUUUGUUAGGGAUUCCAUUGAAUCUGUAGAUCACUUUGAAUAGUAUGAACAUUUUAACAAUAUAAAGUCUUCCAGUCAAUAAAGAUGGGAUAUCUUUCCACUUAUUUGUGUCUUCUUUAAUUUCUUUCAGCAGUCCUUUGUAGUUUUCAGUGCCUGUCUCAUGCCUCUUUGGUUGAGUUUAUUCCUAA